rnacentral:rRNA from 1 species
GAACUUUCCAGAGAUGGAUUGGUGCCUUCGGGAACUGUGAGACAGGUGCUGCAUGGCUGUCGUCAGCUCGUGUUGUGAAAUGUUGGGUUAAGUCCCGCAACGAGCGCAACCCUUAUCCUUUGUUGCCAGCGGUCCGGCCGGGAACUCAAAGGAGACUGCCAGUGAUAAACUGGAGGAAGGUGGGGAUGACGUCAAGUCAUCAUGGCCCUUACGACCAGGGCUACACACGUGCUACAAUGGCGCAUACAAAGAGAAGCGACCUCGCGAGAGCAAGCGGACCUCAUAAAGUGCGUCGUAGUCCGGAUUGGAGUCUGCAACUCGACUCCAUGAAGUCGGAAUCGCUAGUAAUCGUGGAUCAGAAUGCCACGGUGAAUACGUUCCCGGGCCUUGUACACACCGCCCGUCACACCAUGGGAGUGGGUUGCAAAAGAAGUAGGUAGCUUAACCUUCGGGAGGGCGCUU